UAGCCGUAAACGAUACUCGCUAGGUGUCGGCCACGGUGCGACCGUUGUCGGUGCCGUAGGGAAGCCGCGAAGCGAGCCACCUGGGAAGUACGGCCGCAAGGCUGAAACUUAAAGGAAUUGGCGGGGGAGCACAACAACGGGUGGAGCUUGCGGUUUAAUUGGAUUCAACGCCGGAAAUCUUACCGGGACCGACAGCAACAUGAAGGCCAAGCUGAAGACUUUGCCGGAUUAGCUGAGAGGUGGUGCAUGGCGUAGUCGUGU
rnacentral:rRNA from 1 species